rnacentral:rRNA from 1 species
CACGUAGGGGGCGAGCGUUGUCCGGAAUUACUGGGCGUAAAGGGCGCGCAGGCUGUUAUGCGAGUCUGCUGUGAAAUGUACCGGCUCAACCGGUGCCUUGCGGCGGAUACUGCAUAGCUGGAGUACUGGAGAGGGAAGUGGAAUUCCCGGUGUAGCGGUGAAAUGCGUAGAUAUCGGGAGGAACUCCGGUGGCGAAGGCGACUUCCUGGCACAAGACUGACGCUCAUGUGCGAAAGCUAGGGUAGCGAACGGGAUUAGAUACCCCGGUAGU